AGUAAUUCUAGCCUAUUUUCUAAACCUAAAACCGAACCCGACUAAAUCGAUGUCGGGUCCGAAACUAAAUGCCCGGUUAUAUAACUCACCCCUUGCGUUUAAACCAGUCCAUUUUUCCAGUUCUGGAAGCUGCCAACAUCAAAAAGGAGAGAGAGACGAACACACAGAGAGAAGAAAUUAGGUCGAGUGGAAAGCAAAAUGAAGGAGACUACAAGAAACAAGGAAGAAGAAGAGAGAGAAAAGGUUUGCAAGAGAUGCAAAUCAAGCUUCAACCCUUGUUCAAACACCCCUUCUUCCUGCCGUUUUCACCCUUCUUUCUUCGUUUGUCGUCGUCACGAUGAUCAGAAGAGAUAAAGUUGGCUGAGCAGUACUGCACCAAUGAUUGCUUUUAUAAUGCCUGGUGAGAAUGCAAUGUUAAAUCAGCUAUACUGAAUUACCGAUGAUGAAUGAUGAUGAAUGAUGAUGAAUGAUGUACAUUGUAUGCCAGACAGCUCUAAGUGCAUAUGGUUUGAUGUAUACCUCACAUGAAUGUAUAUGCGAUAAGUAAUAGAUUUUCACUAAUUUGUAAUCUAAAUUUCUCUGUAAUUUACAGUCCUUCAAUGUAUAUAGCAGUUGCAAGAAUGGAUUUUGUUACCGUUUUUGUUAGUUCAAAGUAUAUAAUAGGGAAAUUUGUCCAUCA